AUGUAAUGAUGAUACGAAUGGAUUCUAUGAAAAUACAUUGUGACGUCAUUAUUAAGUAACUACGGCCUUAUUUCGUUUUCAUGUUCUUAUCAUUUUCAAUUCUCUUUUCAGCAAUGAAAGUCAGUUUGGGCAGGCCGGUGAAGGUAAAUAACUUCCUAAUCACUCUGAACAUAACGCUUAUUGCAAAUAGAAAUCUUAAGAAGAUGGAGGCUCGUACUGGGGAGGCCAUCAAGAAAAUCUCAACUGCGUCGUCUAACAAGGCUGCCAUUGAUGCUUAUGAGAAAGAAAUGAAUUCGAGGAACAGUAAUACCUAAUAUUACUCAGAUUGCUGCUGUGCAUUUGAAGACGGGUUUUAAGUUCUCGACAUAUGUGAAGACAACAGUGCCAAUUUCUUCCGAAGCUCAGAAAGUGAUUGGCAUCUCUGUUGAUGAUCAUGGCAUAAUGCGUGUAAAUGGUGGAAGUGUUGAUAGUGUAUAAAUUAAAACUUCUCUUCAUGAUUGCAUGAUGUGGCUUGCAAAGUUUCCCAGAGCCAUUUUUGUUGCUCAUAAUGAGCGCAGGUUUGUUUUUCCGGUGUUUGUUAGUGCAUUGCUGAACACACACUGUUUUGAAACGUUUUGUAAUUGUGUAAGCAGUUUUGUUGACUCUUUGCCGGUUUUCAAAUAUCGUAUCCUGGACAGUCACACAAACAGGAAGAUCAAGUGAACGUGUUCUCUAGGCAACCUGCAACGCCCACAGUGCUCCUGAUGAUGUUGAAGCACUGGGAUCUUUGCUUAAGACAUGUCAAAUUACUGACAAUAUGGCCCACAUCUUUACUGUUACUGCAAUCCAUAAUUCAGUUUGUUUAAGUCAUGAAAAGCCUUAAAGGCAAAGAACAUUAGAUUGUUAGACGUGCUGUUGCAUAGAGGAACUCUAAAGCGACCAACAGCUGAAAACAUUGCGGGAUGUGGACUGGCCUUGUGUGAUUUGAAAGCCAUAUUUUGUAGUUCCGGAGAGGAUGAUUUUAGGGAUACUUUCAUUGCUAAAAACAAUGGAGGACUACCAAAAGUCACAAACGCAAAAAAAUAUUUUAUCUGAAGUGGUCCCUAAAAUCGGUGAGUUUUGCAGUGACGAAAAGUGACGGAACGAGAUAAUAUGGCUUUCAAAUGACACGCGGCCAGUCAAAAUCACGCAAUGGCUUUAUACUAAUACUUAAUUAUGUACAUCUAGUUGUCAUAAAUCUGACUGUUCUUAUUAAAAUAUAAGUUGUAUAUUAUUGUGCUACAUGUUUAAAGAAACAUGAUAACUUAUACAUCUUUAUGCUACGUAAUAUUUGGACAACUUUGACAUUUUGUGGUGAACUGCGCCUGUAUUCAUAUGUUGCCUUUUGACUUUAGGUGACCUUAAGAUUGUAUUAUUAGCUCGGCUGUUUUCGGAGAAAACUCCGAGGUAUUGUCAUAGACUCUUCGUUGUCCGCCGUCCGACGUCCGCCGUCGUGCUAAAACCUUUACAGUGGCUCUAAAAUUAAAGUGCUUCCACCUACAACUUUGAAACUUCAUAUGUACAUGCACCUUGAUGAGUUCUACACGCCACACCCAUUUAAGGUCGCUAGGUCAAAGGUCAAGGUCACUGUGACCUCUAAUAUAAAACUUUAAAUUUGCUUCUAACAUCACAGGGCUUCCACCUACAACUUUGCAACUUCAUAAGAACAUGCACCUUGAUGAGUUUUAAAUGCCACUCCCAUUUUGGGUCACUAAGUCAAAGGUCAAGGUCACUGUGACCUCUAAUAUAAAACUUUAACUUUGUCUCUAACAUCAUAGUGCUCCCACCUACAACUUUGAAACUUCACAUGUACAUGCACCUUGAUGAGUUCUACACGCCACACCCAUUUUUUGGUCACUAGAUCAAAGGUUAAGGUCACUGUGACCUCUAAUAUAAAACUUUAACUUUGCCUCUAACAUCACAGUACUUCCACCUACAACUUUAAAACUUCAUAUGUAGAUGCACCUUGAAGAGUUCUACACGCCACACCCAUUUUGGGUCACUAGGCCAAAGGUCAAAGUCACUGUGACCUCUAUAAAAAAAUAUGACAAGCUUACGCAGCCGAGAGUGGCACCCGUUGUGCGGUGCUCUUGUUAAUGUAUUAUUAUAUCAAUAUAAAUUCAAAGUUAGCUAAAUUUCUUCACAUGUCAUGGUUUAUAACUGUAGCAACUAGAAAAAAAAACAAAAGAAGUGAUAUACAAAUUUAUGCUUAAAUUCAUUGCGUGAAAAUGAAUUGGGGUAGGCAUACUCAAAGUAAAAUUUCUGGAGAUAGGAACGGUAAAACUUCCUGAAAUUCAUUCAGUGUGUAGAAAAUAUGUUGUGUUAAAUAAAUAUGUACAAUAUAUGCAUUUCAUCACACUACAAGUGACAUAAAACGUAAUUAAAGUUUCUUGUCACUGAACCAUGUGUUGCCGUUUUUGCCAUUUUAUCCAGAUAAGUGCAUAUAUUAUUGGACAUCAAAGGCACAAUUGUCUUUCAAUGACACUUUUUUAAUUCUGUAUCUACUAACAAAAUCCAGUCAAGUACGUUUAUUAAGUUAAUUGUCAAAAUAUAUGUAUAUCCCAUUACAAAAAACUAUAUAGUUUGGAUAUAGGGUAAAUCCAUAGAAAACGCCCAACCGAGUCAAGGAGUAUGUGUACUCAACCAAGUAUAAAAAGUUAACCGGCUGGUAAAGAGUUUUAAAAUUUUGCAAUUAGUUGUGAUAUACAAUUUACUAUGUGGAAAUAAUAACAAAGAGUGUUUCUGGAAAAGUACCCAUUAGGCUCCCACUACCUUAAUAUCUUAGUUAGAAGGUGAUUUUUCAAGCGGUUCCGUAGUGUAGUGGUUACACGCUCGCUUCACAUGUGAGAGGUACAAGGUUCGAGCCCCAGUAGAAUCAAAUUAUUUUAUUUGUGUUCUAUGUUAACUUUUUGUUUUGAUGUAGACAUUUUAGUUUAAAUAAAUAUGCUGUUUUAUUGUAA